rnacentral:lncRNA from 1 species
GAGACUUUUGUACUGGAGCUAACUCUGGUCUGGUUUCUCAUAGAUAUCCACCUGCUGCUUCUGUUGAAAUGGCACAAACUUAAGGCUCUUAGUGCUCUCUCUUUCUUCAAACUACCUCGUUUUUGCAUGAUCCUGAGCAAGAUGAAAGCUUUUUGAGCUCAGAGGCUCACUUUCUUCAUCUGUGCAGGCCCACCCAAUUCCUAGCACAAUGCUUUGUCCAUAGAUGUUUCAUAAAUGUUUGGAUUGACUUAACUGGAUGCAUUGAAGGGGCUGAGAGCUGAUUUGAGUGUGACAAGUGUGGCAUCUCCCCAAAGACAUUUGCAGAGACUGAGUAAGGAAGCUAAAGAAUCCAGUGAUAUCCUGGAAGGAAGAAGGAAAAAGGAGCUCAAGUUCUGGUUAAUAGGAACUAGUCACCUGGGGAAACUCUCAGGCUUUGAUUCAUCCUCGUCUGGGCUUAAGAGAACCAGUG